UGGAGUAGUACUGUAGUACUACCUUCUCUCAGUCUUCUUCACUUGUUCUUUGGACUACAAUAUGGAGUACUACUCCAGCUCCAGUACUGGUUCCCCUUCCCAUCCUCCCACUCCCACCGAUGGAGGGUCGGACCGUCGGGAUCGCCAUCGCCACCGUCUUCCCCGCCGCUUCCUCACCACCCAACCUUUUCUGCUCGCGGCCAACGCGGCCCGCCGGCGUCGACGAGCCUUAGGAAGGGCAAAUGUAUAGCUCGAAGUGAUACUCAGGACGAUAACACUGACCCGAGCAAUAGCGAUAGCCAUGGCCUGAACGACCUGCCUGCCAAGCUGCCCUUGCAGGAUUUGGGACGUCAUCUUGCCGAACGAUGCGCGCAGCUGUUGGAUGAGGCUAUGAGAGAAAUCAAAAUUUUAACUCAGGAAACGCAAGAAGUCAUGCAGGCAUUGGCCUCGAAACACAGUGAGGAAUUCACCCUCGUUAUUUCAGAUGUAAUGGAAGCCAUCCAGGCAGAGCACGCUCAAGUGAAUGCUCGAUUACAUCGUGGAAUCGAAGAUGCGGAUGCUGCCGAUGUGCAGGCAGCAGCAAAGCGAAAAGCUGCAUGACUACACGAAGGUGCCAAGACUACUCGUAAACGAAGCAAGUUGUCACGCGUGGCUUCUGCAGCCAAUAGAUCCCAAGCCCCCGUUGAUUUGAGAGGUGACUUGUUAGGGCCAAGCAACUCGGAAAAUGAAGCAAGCGAGCAUAUAGACCAACAAAGCUAUCAAGCUGUUGACCAUGCAAAUCCGAUAUUGGGCAUGGCCCCUACUGCGCAUCACCGUCCAUUGAACUCAUCAGCCCAAGUGACGGCAGCAGUCCACCAUGAGCUGGAUCAAGGAUUCCAAAUGCAAGACAAAUGUGGCCUUGAAUGGUUGGUAUCAGCAGCAGCUGUGGGAGAAGCCACCAUGAGAGCCAGUGCCACAUUGGAUCAAAGCAACGAUGACAACCUCGCGGUUGUCACGUGCCAACGACAACCAGAACAUUGCGAGACACAGAUGACGAAAGAGGUGGCAUGUCCAAGGCCAGCUUGCAUGUCACCGUUUUCAAUGCCCAUACUUCACGAAUGGCCAAAUGCUAAAUUAGCUCGGAGGUUGUACCGUUGGCUGGAGUUGAAGUCACGUGAUGAAGAUAUAACCGGGGUUUGGUUCAAGCACGACAAGCCUACACCAAUUGAGAUAAGUGCCAUGAAGCUCAAAAUGCAGGUCACCCACGGUGGCAAUCUAUGUAUGGACCUUUGUUCGGCAUUUAUCAGACUCUACCAACAGUUAGAUGCCAAGAUGAAUACAAACCCAUCUGGACAGCGUUGGCGCCACUUCUUCCCACCCCAAUUUGCGCUUUGAUGAUUGAGCCAAACUUCAGUUCCAUGAAAGAAGUCAGUGACAUGUUUGAUCAACGUGUUAAUGGCUACAAAAUACAGAACUGUCAACUGCUCAUUGCCCCAGUUGAACUAGCUGGCGGUACAUGGUCAUGCUACAUUUGGGACAUGGAGAAGAGGCAAAUGCACAUUUUGGACCCUGUCUUGCAGCAGCGGGAGACUUACAAUGUGAGUGCUAAGCAGUAAGCACCAUCGAACAGCCACAAUGAUCCACGCAGGCCUGUUAACAUGUAUAAACAAAUUCUAUGGCGGCUGGGAUAUUAACCCAAACGAAUGGAUGUUUUCGUACUACACAGGGAUUAGCCCAAGGAGCCAAAGUAGGAACUCUGGUUUUUACACAUUAUACUACUCGCGUGAGUUCCAUGAUGGCAAGCUGCAGAGAAGUCUAGAUUCGGGUAGUAUUACUGCCUUGCGCAAGGAUCUUUUGUACCAGCUCCUGACUAUGGAAGGGAACUACGCCGAGCUGCCAAGUCACAUUGCGAGAUACUUGGAAUAGUUGUACCAAGUGUCAUGCUGGUCAUUUAACCUUUUGCUAGUAUGUUUAUGGUGCAAGUAUCUAACGAGAAUUUCCCAAGAAAUCUCCUUUAUCUAAAAAAAAACUAGGCGUCUAGAUAAGCCAGUGUUUUCUGUUGAUAAUAGUGUUGCACUGAAUAAAUGUAUAGCAGCUAAGUUGUUUUAGUGGUUAGUACCAUUUAGCAGAAACCUUUUUGUAUGGCUCCCAGCAUGUUACUCUUUGGAGGAGUAUCACUGAAAGAAUGGGUUUUCUGAGUACCUCUUUAAUUCAGUAGUUUUUUUUUUUUGCAAGGAAUUCAGUAGUUAAAUUUGACAGUAGAAUCAUCUGCUUCUCUCUCUCUCUCUCUCUCUUUCAUUUGCAGAGUAUCGACUCAUCCCUCACAAGUGAAAAAAGGGAACAGUAAUGAAAGCAAGCAUAAGAGCAACAUUUGUGCAAGACCUGCUGAUAUACUACUCUAUCAGGAGAUUAAUAAAUCAGGAUGAGCCUAAGAAAUGAAUAGAUUCAUGGGUAAACCCUAGGAUGAGCCUGGUGCAUAGUUGCAAAGGUAAGUGCCCUACCAAAGAAGCUGAAUGUAAUAUCCAUGGCAGAUAGGCAUGCUUCUGGGGCACCAAGAUGUCGUUUGCUCCAGUAAGGUGCAGCAGAGUUGAUAAGGCCAUGGGGCUUUUUAUGUUACUGUAACUGGUACGUAUCUUCAGUUACAUGACAGUUGACAUUUUAAGUUAGGGACAAUUGCUUCUUUGACCCUAUUCUGAACUAUAACUACUAAUUUGACCCUACUUUUUUAGGUUUGCUCAUUUGAUCCUACUUUUCAAAAUUGGAGUUGCCGUUUGGCCCUGGUUUCAUCACACCGUAGGGUUUCAUUUAAAAAAUAGAAAAAAAAUGUUUUUUUAUGCCACAAUGGACCAAAAUACCCUUGUACACAUCAAUAUUCUCUUAUCCUCUCCCUCUCAUCUCUCUCACCGGAGCUUGUCUCCCUCUCCUCUUUCUCGCCGGAAAUGGGAGGGAUGGCGGCGGCGGCUCGACAAGGCGGAGGACGGCGGCGGCGGCGGCAUGGGAGGGAUGGCGGUGGCUCGAUGAAGAGGAGGGUCGGGCGGCGGUGGUUCGGCGAGGCGGAGGAGCGGCGGCUCGACGACGAGGAGGGGCGACGGUCGAGGCAACUAGGCGACGGAUCCGGCGGAUGUGGUGUUCUGCGGGGAGGUAGGGAGCGCCGGCAGCGGCGACGCACGGAGGAAGGGAGCGCCGGCGCACGGAGCUGCGGAGCCGGUGGGCGGAGGGAGGAGUGGUGGCCGCCGCCGCCCCUCGGCAACUACCUCCGCCGUCGCCGCCGCCGGUGGUUUUCAUCGUGCCGAGCCGACGCUGCCCCUCCGCAGCCACCGCCGCCGGUGAACUUCCUCGUCACCAAGCCGCAGCCGCCCCCACCGCUCAUCUGCCGCCAGCGGCGGCCCUCCUCGUCGCCGAGCCGACGUUGCCCCUCCGCCGCCGCUCCUCCCGCCGCCCCCUGUUGCCGCUCCUCGGUGGCGCAGUGACCUGCUGCUUGCCAUUUUUUUUCUUUUUUUUUGUUUUUCUGGUAGACAUAAAUUUGCACCAUGUAUUUGUGUUUGAGACAAUAUACACUGAUAAGUGUAAUAAAAAACUUUGAUAAACUGGGUUAAAUUCAUAAGGGUAUAAAUGGAACUUUUGUGUUGAGUUAA